GGGCGCGUAGUGGAGUGGUUACCACGUUGGUCUUCGAUUCAAGCGUUGCGGCCUACGCAAAGCUUAUGUAAUCAACCAAAGUUCAUCAGUUCGAUCCUGGUCGUGCUCA
rfam:Rhizoctonia solani AG-8 WAC10335 unplaced genomic scaffold Scaffold_47, whole genome shotgun sequence.